UGUCCUCUUAAAAUUCUGCCCUGGAGGUGUCACCCUAGCUCCAGCCCUGACCUUAAGAGGGAGGUACUAGUAUUAUCCACAUUUAUUUUUUAUUUUAAUUAAUUAAUUAAUUAAUUUUAUUUAUUUUUGAGACGGAGUCUCGCUCUGUUGCCCAGGCUGGAGUGCAGUGGCGCAAUCUCGGCUCACUGCAAGCUCCGCCUCCCAGGUUCACGCCAUUCUCCUGCCUCAGCCUCCCAAGUAGCUGGGACUACAGGCACCCGCCACCAUGCCCGGCUAAUUUUUUGUAUUUCAGGAUUUGAAUCUGGGCAGCCUGGCUCUAGAUGCUAGGCUCUAGAUGGAAG
rnacentral:antisense_RNA from 1 species